CCCACCGCGGUUAUACGAGAGGCCCAAGUUGAUAAUUACCGGCGUAAAGCGUGGUUAAGAUUUUUAUAGAACUAAAGCCGAACCCCUUCAGAGCUGUUAUACGCACCCGAAGGUAAGAAGUUCAACCACGAAAGUGGCUUUACAGCCCCGAACCCACGAAAGCUAAGAUACAAACUGGGAUUAGAUACCCCACUAUG
rnacentral:rRNA from 1 species